AAGAAAGAGAGGAGGCCAGAAGACUCUCAGGGGGCCUUUUGUUUGUUUCUUUGUGUGUAUGGGUCUGGCUAGUGGACAUGUCCCCUGCAGUGCAAUGUGGUGGUGUAGGCCUGGGGCAGAGCAGGGUUUGGGGCAGGGAGUGGAGAUGCCUGCUGGGGGUCAUAAGGAGCCCUCCUCCCCUCUCUGCAGGGUGCCUUACUACAGCAUCGACCCCCUGCAGACCCUCAGACCUGCCUGGAUGCCUCAGCAGACACACACAGGUGGAGUUUCUAUAGAAGACAAAAGAGAGCAACCUGUUACUGUAACCGGAAGAGAGGCUCUGACAACCUCAAGUCUUCCCUCAACCCUCCCCACCACACCAGUCCUAUGCAAAUCACAAGGAGCUGGCCAAUGGUGGUUGUUUCAGGCCGAGGUGUAGCGUCAUCAUCCUGGAUGGCAGGCAGGGGAAGACGGGAUGCCCUGUCUGCACGUCACCAGCUGCCUGGGUCAGGCCUGUAGAGAGAGAGGGGCAGGGCAGUCCUGGCCAGGCUUACAGUACCUGGCUCUGGUUCUGGCAAAGAAGCUGAGUAGCAGUAAAGACUAUCACACCAGAGAGCACUUCCCCCAUCAACACUACAAUAACUGCUGCCUGAUACAUCCCAGCCUAGGCCAGGCCAGGCCAGAGCCACUAUCACCUCCUGGGACACAUUGUAGGAGAUGCAUGGAGUAUAAAUGCUGAUGAUAGUCAACUGUU